rnacentral:ncRNA from 1 species
UUCAUGAGAUCUUCCAGUCCGGAUUGAGCCUUGGUAUGGAAACCUACUAAGUGGUAACUUUCAAAUUUAGAGAAACCCCAAAAUUAAUAAAAAUUGGAAAUCCUGAGCCAAAUCCUAUUUUCCCAAAAAAAAGGACAGGAAAGAAAAAAGGAUAGGUAUAGAGACUCAAUGGAAGUUGUUCUAACAAAUAGAGUGGACUGCGUUGGUAGAGGAAUCUUUCUAUUGAAACUUCAGAAAGGAUGAAGGAUAAACGUAUAUAUUGAAUGCUAUAUCAAAUGAUUAAUGACGACUCGAAUCUCUAUUUAUAUUUUUUUUAUAUGGAAAAUGGAAGAUUUGAUUCCACAUUGAAGAAAGAAUCGAAUAUUCAUUGAUCAAAUCACUCCAUACUCUGACAGAUCUUUUAAAGAACUGAUUAAUUGGACGAGAAUAAAGAUAGAGUCUCAUUCUACAUGUCAAUUCCGG